GCACACCUUAAUCCCAACAUCCUACGUUUUCUUUUAACUAUACUUUGCCGUUUGCCAUGUUUUUCCUUAACUGGUUUUUCACAUUUUUAUAAGUUUGGCACAGACUAUGAAGACUCUAAGGCUAAGAAAGAACACAGUGAAAUUUUCAUUGUAUAGGCAUUUUACAAAUACACUCAUCUUUGCAGUGCUGGGUAAGCCAUCUAUACCUUUUUCAGAAAUAGCCCAUUUUAGAAUUGUAUGUUCUCUCAUGGGUGACUUUCUCUGUCUUUCAGCUUCUAUAGUGUUUAUGGUGUGGACAACAAAGACCUUCAGGAUCGCAAAAUGCCAAUCAGUAAGUAAAGUCUUAAAUGUCUUAAGAUUUAAUUAAAUUAUUGAUUAGAUAAUUAAAGUGGUUAAUUAAAUUAUUACAGAAUUAAAGCAUUUAAUUAAAUUAAUUAUUUAAGCAGUUGUUUUUAUUUAUACUGUUUUGUGGAAUUUCAAUGAGUUUAGUUUGUAAAAUAAUUUUAUUGGGCAUUUUAAAAAUCUAUUUUCUGUAGAGUUUUCAAAACUUGUUUUCUAUUUUAAAUAACUCUUAAGCUGGAGGUAGAUCUCUGUAGAAUGCUUGCCUCAAAGCACAAACCGUAGGUUUGACCCCAUUGUCACAUAAACUGUCAGUAGUACAAACCUUUAAUUGCAGCCCUCAGAGGUAGAGGAGGCAGGAGGAUCUAAAGUUCAGGGCAAAUUUGGGCUAUGUUUGACCCUGUCUCACAACACCAAAAGUAAAUAACUAUUUGAGCAAGUUUCUCUCAAAAUUUUUAUCCUUUUUUCUGAACUUCUUUUAUACAUCUUGAAAAAUAAUUUUGUGCCUUUUUUUCUUUCUUCUUAGCUUUCGGUGAUAGAGAUAGUACCCAGCUCUUUGCGUAUGCUUUGCCUCACUGAGCUAUAUCCCCAGCCUGGCUUUGUCCCUAGGUGGGACUAAAUACCGAAGUCUGGUGUGUUGCUUUGAUGUUGCACUCAGCACUGGCUUUGGGGAGAUGUCUGGUGCUUACUCUAGCUGGAAGAACACUGUUUCACUUAGCCUGGUUCUUGAGACCAUAGGUGUGCUCACUAAGUGCCCGGAAGCCUAAAGCUGCUGCAGUGUAAGAGACAAUUGACGGAAAGAAGCUGAACUUCUGGUUUUUCCCCCUCUUUAAUAUUUUCUGCUUAAAGUUCUAAGUCCCAGUUUUGAUUUUUUUCCCUAAAUCUUUCUGUUGGUCCUAAAAUUUUGUAAAGGGAAAUAUGCAUGCUUUUUAGAAACAAUGCUUACAACGUAGGUUUCCUUAGAAGAAAAUUAUUGCAAUUUUAUUUACAAGGAAGAGGUUUGCCAGCUGGAGAGGUCUCAGUCCUGCCUGUGUACGGUUUGGGUGGGACACUUGUACCUUAUCAGAAGGUUGAUGUUCUGUGUUUGGAUUAUCCUCACCCUAGGACUGGAUGGAGCUGUGGGUUGACGAUGCGUUUUGGAGCUUCCUCUUUUUUCUUAUGGAGGCCGUCAGCAAAUAAUCAGAGGUAUGCCUUCAUGCCCUUGAUAGAUGACUCUGAUGAUGAAGUCGAGGAAUUCAUGGUAACAUCUGAAAAUUUAAGUGCGUGAUAUGUGGUUUUUGGUUUUUGGUGGUUUUUUUUUUUUAAUGACUAUUGUACAUAUUUUAACAGAAAGAAAUUUUUACUUGAGAUGCAAGGUCACAUACAUUUCAAAUUUUUUCCUAUGAGAACUAGAGAGAUGUCUCAGCCUCUAAAGUAUUUAUUUGCCUUGCAAGCAUGAGGACAUGAGUUCAGUCCCCAGAACAAUUUUAACAUUGGUAUUUAAAAAAACAAGCAAACAAAAAAGCUGGGCAUGGUAGCAUGUCUAUGUAGUCCCCGUGCUGGGGAAGACAGAUCACUGGAGCUCAUCAUAUAUGAAGAAAAUAAUUUCAUAUCAUAUAUAAUAACCAUACAUUGCCGCUUAUAUGUCAAGCAAGUAAAACAUUUCCAAGAUGGAUGUGUGUUUGUGUGUGUGUGUGUGUGUGUGUGUGUGUGUUAGAGUGCUAGUGAUGAAAUCUAGGGCUUCACACAUUCUAGGCAAAUGUUACCUCUGAGAUAUAUCGCAAGCCCCCAGAGAUGUCUUAUUUUCAAAAUACAGUAAAUCGUACACAUUUUUAAAUCCUUAAACUUUGAAGUAAAUCGAAUUGGGGGACACGUGUAUGCCUGAGCUCUUCCACAGGUACACUUUAGAGCAGCAAGUUGAAACCUGGAGGACACUGCUCAGGUCAGGGGCAGAAAGGCAGAUACCACAUGUUAUUAUAGAGAGAGAAGCCAAAACUGUUGAUCUCAGGUGCAGAGAUAAAAAAAGGUUGAGGCAAGGAGAAAAGCAGGAACAGUAGUAGACAACAGUUGCUUAAAAGAGACAGAAUUCUAGCUAGACAAGAGGACAAGGCCUCGUGGUUGUACAAUAGGGUGACUAUAGUAGCUCAUUGCCUUCAAAAUAGCUUCAACUCCAGUACAAAGAAAUUAUCAUUUUGAAGUGAUAUAACACCCUACUGUGCACUGACACACUGUGCAUUAUGUAGGUCAAAGUACUACUGUACCCGUAAAUUGUUGAUUGUUGAAUCAAUUCAGAAGCCUGCCAGCUUUCCCUAUGCUGCUUUUUAAUUUCUGAAAUGGCAUAUGAAGCUCCUCCUCUGGCCAAAGUGUCUAAUCCUAACUUGCUUUUAAAAAAUAAUCAUUUUUCUUAUUGGGGUAUUAAGUGUGAAGUUAUAAUUUUCUAAUCUUUUAUAUGUCUCUGAUGUUUCUCAUUGUAGCUGAGGGAAUAAAACUAAGAGCCUCAAAAACGGUUUCAAACGGAACAGCUAAACCUACGUCUGAUAAUUUUGAUGAAGAUUUGAAGUGGGUGGAAGAAAACAUUCCCUCUUCGUUCACAGAUGUGUAAAUAUCCUCUGUUCAAAUCUAGAAUUCAGGCUCUGGCUUAAGGGGAUUUCACUCAGUGUAUCUUAGGGCGGGUGCGUGAGUGUGUUUGUGUGUGUGUGCACAUGUGUGAGUGUAUAUGAACAAGUAUUCAUGUGUGUGUAUAUAUGUAUGUAUAUGUGUAUAUGAAUAGAUGGAUAUAGGACCCCAUCACUACUUCUCAGAGAGCGGAACAUGGCCUUGACCCCUUUCUCUGCCUUUCCAUUGUACAGCCAUUUCAAGUCACCAUUUUGGUGGCAUACUUAACCACUGAGCUGUUUCACCAGCCUGGGCUUUGAAGGCUUCAGAAGGAGGCUGCAGUUGUAAUAUCCAUCCCUGUGUGUUAUGUGGGCUGUGUUUUAUGUGGCAGUUUUAUUUGUUUAUGUAUUUGUUUUAUCUUUCCCCUAGCUUCAAGGUUCUUUAUAAUUCAUCCCUAAAUGUUGGGAAAUUUAGGUGUGUUUAUGUCUGCCAUAACAGGUAAAGGCGCCUGCUGCCAAGCCUGCCAACCGGAGUUCAAUUGCAGGGACUCACAGGGGUGAAAGGCAGGAACCAGCUCCUGUGUAGCCCUCUGACUUCCACACCCGUGGUCCAGGCACACACACCUACUCAUACAAACAAUAAACCAACACAUCUCUAAACAGAUAUUCUCC
rnacentral:lncRNA from 1 species